GACGGCGAUAUACGACGUCAUAAACGCGAUCAACUUUGGUGUUUAUAACGUCGAUAUUCGACUUCAUAAACGCGAUCAACUUUGGUGUUUAUGACGUCGAUAUUCGACGUCAUAAACACGAUCAACUUUGGUGUUUAUGACGUCGAUAUUUGACGUCAUAAACACGAUCAACUUUGGCGUUUAUGACGUCGAUAUUCGACGUCAUAAACACGAUCAACUUUGGUGUUUAUGACGUCGAUAUUCGACGUC
rnacentral:miRNA from 1 species